rnacentral:rRNA from 1 species
GGAUCGGUAUGUUGGUCGUGCUUCGGUACGUACUGUCAUUACCGGUUUCUACCUUCUGAAGAACCGCGAUGUCAUUAAUUUGGUGUCGUGGGGAAUCAGGACUGUUACUUUGAAAAAAUUAGAGUGUUUAAAGCAGGCGAAACAGCUUGAAUACAUUAGCAUGGAAUAAUAAAACAGGAC